AACGAACGCUGGCGGCAGGCUUAACACAUGCAAGUCGAGCGGGCCCUUCGGGGUCAGCGGCGGACGGGUUAGUAACGCGUGGGAACGUGCCCUUUGCUUCGGAAUAGCCCUGGGAAACUGGGGGUAAUACCGGAUGUGCCCUGAGGGGGAAAGAUUUAUCGGCAAGGGAUCGGCCCGCGUCUGAUUAGGUAGUUGGUGUGGUAACGGCGCACCAAGCCGACGAUCGGUAGCUGGUUUGAGAGGAUGAUCAGCAACACUGGGACUGAGACACGGCCCAGACUCAUACGGGAGGCAGCAGUGGGGAAUCUUAGACAAUGGGCGCAAGCCUGAACUAGCCAUGCCGCGUGGGUGAUGAAGGCCUUAGGGUCGUAAAGCCCUUUCGCCGGGGAAGAUAAUGACGGUACCCGGUAAAGAAACCCCGGCUAACUCCGUGCCAGCCGCCGCAGUAAGAC
rnacentral:rRNA from 1 species